rnacentral:rRNA from 1 species
GUAGGGUGCGAGCGUUAAUCGGAAUUACUGGGCGUAAAGCGUGCGCAGGCGGUUCGCUAAGUCUGAUGUGAAAGCCCCGGGCUCAACCUGGGAACUGCAUUGGAAACUGGCGAGCUUGAGUGUGGCAGAGGGGGGUGGAAUUCCACGUGUAGCAGUGAAAUGCGUAGAGAUGUGGAGGAACACCGAUGGCGAAGGCAGCCCCCUGGGCUGACACUGACGCUCAGGCACGAAAGCGUGGGGAGCAAACAGGAUUAGAUACCCUGGUAGUCCACGCCCUAAACGAUGUCAACUGGGUGUUGGGGGAGCGAUUCCUCAGUACCGUAGCUAACGCGUGAAGUUGACCGCCUGGGGAGUACGGCCGCAAGGUUA